rnacentral:rRNA from 2 species
AAAUUGAAGAGUUUGAUCAUGGCUCAGAUUGAACGCUGGUGGCAGGCCUAACACAUGCAAGUCGAACGGUAACAGGAAGCAGCUUGCUGCUUUGCUGACGAGUGGCGGACGGGUGAGUAAUGUCUGGGAAACUGCCUGAUGGAGGGGGAUAACUACUGGAAACGGUGGCUAAUACCGCAUAACGUCGCAAGACCAAAGAGGGGGACCUUCGGGCCUCUUGCCAUCAGAUGUGCCCAGAUGGGAUUAGCUUGUUGGUGAGGUAACGGCUCACCAAGGCGACGAUCCCUAGCUGGUCUGAGAGGAUGACCAGCCACACUGGAACUGAGACACGGUCCAGACUCCUACGGGAGGCAGCAGUGGGGAAUAUUGCACAAUGGGCGCAAGCCUGAUGCAGCCAUGCCGCGUGUAUGAAGAAGGCCUUCGGGUUGUAAAGUACUUUCAGCGGGGAGGAAGGUGUUGUGGUUAAUAACC